rnacentral:lncRNA from 1 species
AUUGGCACAAAGGUCACAAUAGGCCAUAUUUUUAGGGAGAAUGCUCCUUUGAUUAAGUAUAAAUUUGCAAGGUAAACAAUCCCACAUCAAUUUCCAAAGAAAGCAUUUCACCCACAUCUGAAUUGAAAGCUUCAAAAUCCAUUGAAAAUGUUGAGGUUGUUGAUUAAGGUCUUAUGUGGAGAUUACUGUGAUGAUAUCUAACACAGUAAUC